rnacentral:misc_RNA from 1 species
AACGCACGAGACCUGCGGACCUGCGGAAGGAUCAUUAGUGAACGCCCUCAUGGGCUUAUAACUAUUCCAAACCUCUGUGAACCGUGCCCUUCGGGGCUAUUUUACAAACAUGGUGUAAUGAACGUCAUAUAUCAUAACAAAACAAAACUUUUAGCAAUGGAUCUCU